GCUAGCUCAGUCAGUAGAGCAUGAGACUCUUAAUCUUAAGGUUGUGGGUUCGAGAUUAGACUAGAUGGGGUUGAACUAGAUGACCCUCGUGGUCCC